rnacentral:rRNA from 1 species
AUUGAACGCUGGCGGCAGGCCCAACACAUGCAAGUCGAGCGGAUGAAGGGAGCUUGCUCCUGGAUUCAGCGGCGGACGGGUGAGUAAUGCCUAGGAAUCUGCCUGGUAGUGGGGGAUAACGUCCGGAAACGGGCGCUAAUACCGCAUACGUCCUGAGGAAGAAAGUGGGGGAUCUUCGGACCUCACGCUAUCAGAUGAGCCUAGGUCGGAUUAGCUAGUUGGUGGGGUAAAGGCCUACCAAGGCGACGAUCCGUAACUGGUCUGAGAGGAUGAUCAGUCACACUGGAACUGAGACACGGUCCAGACUCCUACGGGAGGCAGCAGUGGGGAAUAUUGGACAAUGGGCGAAAGCCUGAUCCAGCCAUGCCGCGUGUGUGAAGAAGGUCUUCGGAUUGUAAAGCACUUUAAGUUGGGAGGAAGGGCAGUAAGUUAAUACCUUGCUGUUUUGACGUUACCAACAGAAUAAGCACCGGCUAACUUCGUG